rnacentral:rRNA from 1 species
CCUACGGGAGGCAGCAGUGAGGAAUAUUGGUCAAUGGGCUUACGCCUGAACCAGCCAAGUCGCGUGAGGGAAGACUGCCCUAUGGGUUGUAAACCUCUUUUGUCAGGGAGCAACGCCGGCUACGUGUAGCCGGACUGAGAGUACCUGAAGAAAAAGCAUCGGCUAACUCCGUGCCAGCAGCCGCGGUAAUACGGAGGAUGCGAGCGUUAUCCGGAAUUAUUGGGUGUAAAGGGUGCGUAGACGGAAGAACAAGUUGGUUGUGAAAUCCCUCGGCUCAACUGAGGAACUGCAACCAAAACUAUUCUCCUUGAGUGUCGGAGAGGAAAGUGGAAUUCCUAGUGUAGCGGUGAAAUGCGUAGAUAUUAGGAGGAACACCAGUGGCGAAGGCGACUUUCUGGACGAUAACUGACGUUGAGGCACGAAAGUGUGGGGAGCAAACAGGAUUAGAUACCCCGGUAGUC